rnacentral:lncRNA from 1 species
UUUCUCUAAUUUUUGUGCUAUUUUCACAUUUCCUGACCGGUGUGAGAAAAAUAUUUCUCCUCACUAGUGAAAAAUCUGUUCUUGGCAAAUGAUUAGUCGAAAUUUGAUUAUGACGUCUAAAUGUUUUGUUUUCUUCUGAAUUUUCCUAUUGUGACGCCAUGAAAAAAGGCGACAAUGCCUGAUGACGUCACAUAUAAAGAACAUAACUUUCUGAAAAUCUUUGAAAAGAAGGAUAAAAAUCAUUAAAAAAACAGAUUCCGACACUAUAACUCGUGUAUUACGAUUUUUCUCCACUCUUAACAGUUAAAUUUUAGUUAGUUUUAAAAGAGCUUGGCAAGCCUCACGCUUUAAAUAUUAAAAUUUAACUGUCUGGAGUGGAGAAAUAUUGUAAUACACUUGUUGCAGUGUAGGAAUCUAUUAUAUGUCCAAUAUUGUAAUCUGAAAGAGGAAGUUGGGAAAGUGGCCAGUAUAAGAUAUAUAGCUAUUUUUAACUAUAAUCUGAGUGGGUUUUAAAUAUACAUAUAAGAUAGUGUAAUAGAAAAGUAUAUGUAAUUUAUAUUAUAUUUUUAACCUUUUUGUAUGUUUCUUCAUCUUUAUAAUUCUAAUGUAGCACCUCUUGCUAUUUUAAAUAUUUUUUUAAAGGGAACAACCAUUCGACUCAAAAGAGUGAAUGUUAUUUUUUACAAUAUAAAUUUCUAUUUCUCAUUUUAUUAUGAAAAAUGAUAUUUAAUUUAUUUGAAAAUGAAACAGACACAGAAGGGAAGCCAACCCCUGCAAAUUUACUCUAUUUUCCAAAUUUCAAUUUUCAAAGAUUAAUUUUUAGCUCAAACUGCCCCUUAAACACAAUGAACAUUACAAUCAAAAGCCCUAUAUGAGACAUGAAUUCAUUUUCGAAAUCAGUAAUAAACAGUUCACCUCCAAAAUAAUAUAGAGCCAUUAGAUCUAAAAUUGAAAUUUGGCAUGUUAUAUUCUUGCCCUCUAUUGAAGGAGGUCUUAAAGUAUACUGUAAAUUCAGAAUUAUUGCAAGGUUUUUAUUAUUGCAAAAAAUGCAACAGAGUUGUAAAUGCAAUAAUUUCAACUCGCAUUUAAAAGUGUUCUCCCCAGGCCGUUUUAGCGUCGCGGUACCGCGACGCUAUAUUUCUUCCCGCGACGCUAUAUUUCUUCCCGCGACGCUAUAAUUAUUACCGCGACGCUAUAAUUAUUUUCAGUAUGUUAUUUUUCUCGUUCCUAAAAUUUUGAACUUUCAUCUAAUUACCCCUUAUGAUCAUAAAAAAAUAUAUCACUUUUAAUUGUAAUCCUUUCAAGUCGGACAAUAGAGGCAAUUUAGAGUGGUUAAAUAGGUGUUAAUUGCCCUUUGGGUGAUAACUGUUUGGAUACGAAUGCCCCAAGCUGUCACUUUGACAUGAUUAAUACCACAUGGUUUGCAAUCGGCAAAUUUCGACAAGGAGAAAACGUAAUCAGAAAAUCAGAAAAAAUCGAAAUAUAUGUUUGCUAAAUGAAAUUUCAAAAGAAACAAACAAUUUUUCUCUUUUAAAAUGAGGUUGAGUCUUACCUUUUUACGAAUCCGGGUCCGUUCGCGCCCAUUCACGUUCGCAACCGAUCACGUUCGCGCCCUUUCACUUUCGCACCCUACACGUUCGCGCCCAAUUUUUAUUGGUUUUGUGUUUGAUAACUUUAUAACCAAGUGUUGGCCAGUGUAUUCCUAUUAGUAUAUUUGUUGUCAUUGUCUCAAAAUAAAGUGAGACAACGUGGUUUCUGUGUUGAAUAAAUCUUAGUCAUGUUUUGGAUAGUGUAUUGUUAAAAUAUUUUUCUAAACAAAGUGAGAUUCUGACGACCUGGAUUUUGGGGUGGAAUAAAUCUUAAAUAUUAAUCAGUUUUGGUUAGUGUAUUGCUAUAAUUUUUUAUUUAAUUGUUUCAGAUCAAAGGGGCCAAUCUGUUAAAAACAAUUAUCUUUUGUGUUUUUCAUUUUAAAAUUUUCAAUGUUUUACUCAUACGAAGCUAAAGACAUGCAGUAUUUACAUAAAGGCAAUUUAAAACAACAAUCAUGAUUUUCUAAUUAUUCAACUGGAACUUGGAUUUUAAAUUGGGUGUGAACGGACCUUGGGUGCGAACGUGCGAGGUGCGAACAUGUAGGGUGCGAAAGUGAAUUGGGCGCGAACGGACCUGAUACCACCCCUUUUUACGACUUUUAAUAUAUUAGUAUUACUUUCUUUCUCUUCCUAUUACUUUUUGUAAAUCGAGAGUGAAUAUUUUGAUUUUGGGCUAAAUAAGUUUUGUACUUUCUUUAACAAGUUAUCAAAAUUGGCUUGUAUAUAUGUUUCAUCCAUUUAAUGCAUUAAAAACGCCAUAUUCAUUCCCAAUCUCUUGUCAAACAUUGUUUAUUUUCGUAUUUUUCAUUGCUUUCGGCGGCCAUUUAAUAUUUUAGUGUAAACUACUGAUCGGAACUGGACCAGAUAUGACAAAAAUCCGCAUUUUACAAUAAUAACUACAUAUGCACAAAUGGCACAGUAGACAGAAAACAAUGAUACAUAAAGAGAAAACUAAGCAUUAACAGUCUACUUGUAGAUAACUUUGUUAAAAUAUAUCAUUUUGUAAAAGGAAGCAACUGGGACCAUGAACCAAUAUGUUUCAAAGACAUGGUAAAGAAUUUUUUCUAUUCAAAUUUUUUAUUAAAAACCCGUUUUUUUCUCUACAUAUUUAGUGCAAUUGUAUCUAUACAGGUUGCACUAUAAUAAACCAUUCAUUCAUUUAGCUGGGUAUAGGUAGGGUAACUGGAACCACACAUAUAUUUUUAUUUAGACUUAGAGGAAAAAAUAAUUCUGGAACUAUAAAUGAAUAUAGAAAACAUAAACUGAAAAUACUGUUAUCAUGGUUAUAGUUUAAUUGUAUUCUCAGUUAUGAAUUCAACAAUAUAAAAACAAAGAAUAGGGUGGAAUAGAACAUUUUAUUUACCAAAUAAGGGCCUAUAGCAUACAAACAUUAUAAUACAUUUUGUAAUAAACAAUAAUGUAUAUAACAUAAAGGAAAUAAAGCGUUGCCACGACACGAUAAAUUACAUUGAAAAAAAAUACAAUUUAUUUUUUUACGCCAAAUGUGAUGCUAUCCAAAAUUUCUGGGGAGAAAUGUUUCAUAUGAAUUAAACAUGAUUUUUCUCAAAAUCGUCAAAACUAAAAUCGCAUUUAAGUAAAAAAUGCCAAAAUCGCAUAAUAAAUGCACGCAAUAAUUUCUGAAAUUACAGUAUUAAAUUUAUUUAGGAAAGUUUUCUUCUGUAGAUGUCAAAUUUUAGGAUUUGAUAUUUGUAUUACACUUCUCAUUCAUAAAUACCCAACGUUUCCUUUUAUUUGUAUUGAUAAUCAAAUUUUUAUCAAUUUAGUCAUAAUAGAAAAUUUCCUUCCUUUCUUUUAAAAGUUCAAUGAAUAUACAACAUGCAUAUACAGGUAUCUGUUUAUUGUUUUACAAAGGUGUUUAUUUUAUGAUAUCCUUUUAAAAGAUACCAUACAAUCCAGAUUCUUAGUAAAGAUUUUUAUUUGUUUAACAUUUGGUGGUGAAAGUCUUCUUCGUUUUGACCCUCCAAACAGCAGUGAUUUAUCAACUGUGUUUUAUUCUUUCUUCUAUAUUUAAUUCAAUUAGAAAGUUCAACCUGCUGACAAGUUUAUGUUGUUUGAAGAAAAAAAAUCACUUUAAAAAAACCAAAAACAAUAUAUUGCAUUAGUUAAAUGAUCAACUAAUCAAUGCCCCUGACCAGGGUCAGUUAAGAUAAUUGAGAAGUUUACAUAAUUGAAAAUUCAUUGUAAUUCCCUAUUUAUUAAGGGGCAGACACACAUGGACAGCCAGUUUUAGGUCACAACUUCAUUCAUUUCCCAAUGUUAAUUGUAUUUAGAUCAGAUUCCCUCCAUACAUCAGUGUUUUUGUCCCCAAAACAUUGCUAUACUCUGUGAUGCAUGUUUGGAUUUACAGCUCAUUCAUAUAUUUAUUUAAAAAACUUAUAUAUUUAAUGACAUGUUAGGAAUAUUUUCUCAGGAGCAACAUUCUGAAACUAGGAAACAAGCUUCAUGUGAGCAUAUUUUAUUGUUUGAUGUGUUUUCACAUCCAUCACUUAUCAACUAACUGCCUGUUUUCCAAUUAAGGAAUGACUGUAAUAUUUUUUCUGUCUAUGAAGAAAUAACAUAAAAAAAAUUUGUGCACACUGAAUAAUGCGCGUAGCGGUUUAUUUAACAGUGUGCAACACAUUUUUUAUGUUAUUUCGAAUAGACAGAAUAAAAUAUUACAGUCAUUUCUUAUAAUUUAAUUCCAAAUUCCAUUUUAAACCGUAGAAAACCAUGAAAAAACGUUGAUGACGUCACGGUCACAUGACUAAAUUAUGUCUAUAGGCUGAUAACAAAAUAACGUCGGCCAAUCAGAAGACGGGUUACAUCCAAAAUUAAAUUAUAUACUUAUAGCAGGGGUAUCAUUUGUGGGCAGUAGAUUAUAAAUGAACUUGUAUACAUUUUAGUAUAUACAUGUACAACAAACUUUUUGGUAACUCUUUAGAUCUGGUUAAUCUUUGUACAGCUGAUUUUUUGUAAAAUGAAAUAAAGGAAAGCAUGAGACUUCUAUUUUUAGAAGAUGUUUUAUUGUCAUGAAGCUGUUAAAGAUCUGUCACAUGUUCUUCAUUCAGUAUUUUUUAGUUAAAGAUAUGAAAAACAUGCUUUAAUAAAGUAUUCUUCAUUGUGAGCUCAAAAGAUGAUAAGUUAGUUUCAGUAUGAUUGUAUGUCAGAUGACUGCAGUAUCUCUGAGCUCAUGUCAAACUUGGAUCUUCAUUUGAUAUCAGUUUGUUAGUGUUUUAAUCAUGAUUUGUUUAUUGAUGACCAAUCUGUAGAACUUUUAUACAUGUAUAAUUGGAAUAAAACACAAUAAAAGGUCUUAGUCAUACUAACCGGUGUUCACCUUUUUGUCUCACCUAGUCUCAAGUGAGACCAGUACUGUGUCAGGUGGCAUGUAUAGUUGACUAUGUAUUAGUUUGUGGGAACUACUAGUGGUUACUGUGAAUGAUUUUUUGGUAUGAAGAUGUAUUAACAUUGGCACAUCUGAUUUUCCAGCAUAGUGAUUAUAAUGUGUUUCUUGUUCCAUAAUAAUAACUAAUAUAGUAGACUGUUAAGUAAGGACUACCAAUCAUUUGUAAUUAAUGGUUGUUUCAAUAUGUAUGUAGCAGACUUCAGAGGUUAUUUUUUCUAGCUUUGUGGAUGACAGUAAGAGAUUGUCUUUACAUCUGACAACCUUUUUGAAAAAGUAACUGGUAAAAUGACCAC